rnacentral:lncRNA from 1 species
AUGGGGUUUCCCUCGCCUCUUACCUGAGCGGUCCCCGCAUAACAAGAAAAGGGAGUUGUUAGAUGAUUUUAGGUAUAUGUGGCAAAAGGAGCUGUAUAGCAGGAAAUAACCUGAGGAGGAACAAGGUGUGCAGAGGAGGAAAACAGGAAGGCAGUAGUGAAAGGUUGUUUACCCCAAGUUUAAUGAUUUUGUUAUUGAGUAGCCUGUACCGGGACGGGGUAAAGACAAAGACAGCUGAGUAUGAGAUGAUGUAAUGAGAUGGUAUACAUGAAGGAAUGUAACUGCUAGAAGCGGCUUCGCCAUUAGAGAAGAUGUAGGGUGCUUAAUAAACGCUUGCUGUAAUUAGUAACUUCUGGCGUGUCGGGCGCUCGGUGAGGAGGAGAGCAGCUGGAGGGAGCUGCUUUGGAGACUUCCCAAGUACCUGGAGGAUGGGAAGAAGAGAGAAGGGAAAAGAGGGAGACAAAGUUGGAACACAAAGUUUUGCAAAGUUGAAAGGAAGGAAGGAAGAAAGAAAGAAAGAGAAAAAGGAAGAAAGAAAGAGAAAAAGAAAGAAAGAAAGAAAGAAAGAAAGAAAGAAAGAAAGAAAGAAAGAAAGAGAAAGAAAGAAAGAGAAAAAGGAAGAAAAAGAGAAAAGAAAAGAAAGAAAAAAGAAAAGAAAAUCAGUGGCAGCUGACUGAAGAAUAGACUGGACUAGAACAGGGAGAAAGACUUGAGAAAUAUCUCUUCACCAUUCAGAAACAGAGCUUUUGUAACAAAGAACAGAAGAAAAAAGAAAAAAACAAACAGGGUCAAGUGACUUGCUCAGAUCAUACAGCUAAUAAGUGUUUGAAGCCAGAUUUUAACUCAUGAAGAUUUGGCAAUCCAGGAUCCCCUCCUUAAAAUAGCAGUUCUGGGAGGAACCAGGAAAUCAAUCAAAGGGAGAGAGGAAAAGGAUGAGAGGCCUAUGUAAAUAAAGAAGAUGGAUCCAUUUUCUUUCUCUUCUUUGGGAUCAAAUUUAAUUAUUCUAAUUUUAUAGCAUUCCGUUUCAAGUUUUUUAGUUUUUUCUCUUUAAAUUGUAGUCAUUAUAUAUAUUAUUUUCUGAUUUUUCUUGCA